GAUAUUCUCGUUCUUCUUCUUGCU
rnacentral:sRNA from 1 species